rnacentral:rRNA from 1 species
GUGUCAGCCGCCGCGGUAAUACGUAGGGUGCAAGCGUUAAUCGGAAUUACUGGGCGUAAAGCGUGCGCAGGCGGUCUUGCAAGACAGAUGUGAAAUCCCCGGGCUUAACCUGGGAACUGCAUUUGUGACUGCAAGGCUGGAGUGCGGCAGAGGGGGAUGGAAUUCCGCGUGUAGCAGUGAAAUGCGUAGAUAUGCGGAGGAACACCGAUGGCGAAGGCAAUCCCCUGGGCCUGCACUGACGCUCAUGCACGAAAGCGUGGGGAGCAAACAGGAUUAGAAACCCGUGUAGUCC